rnacentral:rRNA from 1 species
GAUGAACGCUGGCGGCGUGCCUAAUACAUGCCAGUCGAGCGAACAGACGAGGAGCUUGCUCCUCUGACGUUAGCGGCGGACGGGUGAGUAACACGUGGAUAACCUACCUAUAAGACUGGGAUAACUUCGGGAAACCGGAGCUAAUACCGGAUAAUAUAUUGAACCGCAUGGUUCAAUAGUGAAAGACGGUUUUGCUGUCACUUAUAGAUGGAUCCGCGCCGCAUUAGCUAGUUGGUAAGGUAACGGCUUACCAAGGCAACGAUGCGUAGCCGACCUGAGAGGGUGAUCGGCCACACUGGAACUGAGACACGGUCCAGACUCCUACGGGAGGCAGCAGUAGGGAAUCUUCCGCAAUGGGCGAAAGCUUGACGGAGCAACGCCGCGUGAGUGAUGAAGGUCUUCGGAUCGUAAAACUCUGUUAUUCGGGAAGAACAAAUGUGUAAGUAACUAUGCACGUCUUGACGGUACCUAAUCAGAAAGCCACGGCUAACUACGUG